GACGAACGCUGGCGGCGUGCUUAACACAUGCAAGUCGAACGCUGAAGCUCAGCUUUUGUUGGGUGGAUGAGUGGCGAACGGGUGAGUAACACGUGAGUAACCUGCCUCCUUCUUUGGGAUAACGCCCGGAAACGGGUGCUAAUACUGGAUAUUCACUGGUCUUCGCAUGGGGGUGGGUGGAAAGGGUUUUUCUGGUGGGGGAUGGGCUCGCGGCCUAUCAGCUUGUUGGUGGGGUGAUGGCCUACCAAGGCUUUGACGGGUAGCCGGCCUGAGAGGGUGACCGGUCACAUUGGGACUGAGAUACGGCCCAGACUCCUACGGGGGGCAGCAGUGGGGAAUAUUGCACAAUGGGCGCAAGCCUGAUGCAGCGACGCCGCGUGAGGGAUGGAGGCCUUCGGGUUGUGAACCUCUUUCGCUCAUGGUCAAGCCGCAACAAUGGUUGUGGUGAGGGUAGUGGGUAAAGAAGCGCCGGCUAACUACGUG
rnacentral:rRNA from 1 species